GCCAAAAAGGAGGUCAAACUUUUAGUUAAGAGUUAGAAGUGAGGCAGCGAAGAAGCCACUUAAGGUUAGUAUGUUCCAGGUUGGGAAAGACAACGUGAGACACAGGUGGGUUGGCAGGAUGGUUCAAGGACUAACAUCUAUUAAUGAACAUGAACAGUGUGUCCUUUGUGUAACAUCCACCAGGAUGCACAGAGGGAAGAAGAACCCUUGUGCUUGAAAGGCCAUAGGAAGGACCUAAGACUGAAGGAAGCUGAUCUCUUGGAGCCCGUACUUAGUCACGCACAUCUCAGUGGCCCACUGAAUUAGGAAAACAGAUAUAUUUAAGGAAGAAUACGUUUCAGCGUUCAAGAGAAAUUCUCUUCAUGUGUCUGCAGAUAAGUGGCACUGAACAACAUAGAAAAUGCAUUCCCUGCAGAGUCCCGCAGUGGGGAGAUUAGGUAAGGCGGACUCCGUUGGACUGGUACACUUUCCAUAAAAGGUGCUAGAGGUGAGAACACGUUGCACAGGACAGGGAUGCUGCAGGCAUGGAUGGGGUGGUCAGCACAGAUGGGGAGAGGGAAAGAUGCACACCCGCCUUUGAAACAGUGCUUCUCACUGAAGAUACUAUUGGCAUUGGGGCAGAACAAUGCACAAGGUAGGAAAUCCAAUAACCUUGUACUUGACGCACUAAAUACCAAGGAUGCCUCCCUCGUCACCAAUGAAUUGAUCCAUUUCAAAAUGCACUGCCCCCUAUGAGGACGACUCUCUCAAAGCUUCUAGAAAUCAGCCUACCGACACCAAGGUGACACCAUCUCUUCCAUCCCAAGGCCAUCUUCUCAAGGACUGGCAUUGAUCCGGGGAAGAAACAGUGUGUCCUUCUGAAAG